rfam:Medicago truncatula strain A17 chromosome 4, whole genome shotgun sequence.
UAAUCAUGAUGGGGACAAAGUCUAAGCAUUUCUUUAAAACGCUCCAACGCAUCUUAAAUAGAUUCCCCUUCUUUUUGAGUAAAUUGGUAGAGCCUCGCCUUUAGUUGA